ACUUUUUCUCUCCCUGCAUCAAAUUGCUCCCUGCCAUGCAGCAAGCACCAAGGCCUGUGUCUUCUGCUGCCAGCUGCCUGCACGGAGCACAGCCAGCAGAGCCCUGCCCAGUGAGAACAGCUUCGGGUGCAGCGGGUGCGGGUGACCAAGGGAAGUCCCAGCUGCUUCCUGUGGCUUCUCCUCCACCACAGCUUUGAUCUAUUUUGAACAAGAAGUGCUGAAACGCAGGGAACUAAGUUGCUGGCCGGGUGAUGGGAGGCCAAGGGCAGCUGGGGCAGUUCCUUCAGCCUCUUCUGCCAGUGACUAGACAGGACAGGAACCCAUCCACUCCUGGAUCCCUCCUGCAUUCAUCUCGCAAUCCUCUAGCAUCCACUCUCCGUGCCUGCUGCAUCCCUUCUACAGCAGGAGGACAGCUGGAGGGAGGAGGAAGAGUCACCCCAUUGCUCUACUUUGUCCCCUUGGCCAACUAGGGUGCAUUGCUCCAAUGGCUUUUUUGGUUUAAUCACAUUAGAGAAGGAUGCGUUUGUUUUUUCAUCUCCGGUUGUUUUGUCCCUCAGGGCUCCGCCUGCAGCUCCUUUGUUUGUGAGCAGAAAACACUUCCCCAGCCCAGGCUUGGCUGAGAAAUCCUGAAGCAGGUUGUAAAUCUCAGCGGCCGGCAGAUCGACACACACCUGCUGGCUGCUGCCGUGCAGCUGGGGAGAGGGGGAACCUUUUUUCUUUUUAAUGAAACUAGCAUGAUUCUCAUUCAGAUUUUCAAAAGAAAUUGCAUUAUUGCAAACUGAGAGGCAGUGGCAGCCAUCAGCUGUGGCCUUCCCACCUCUUCAAAGACUGGCAGCCGGGGCCGUGUCCCAUUCUCCUCCAUGGGCAACACCAAAUCUGGAUGGAAAGGAAAAGAAAUCUGUGCCGAAUUGCAGACCCUAAUAAAAGCCCCGUUCUUGGGAGUGAUUCAUUAACUUUACUACGAGCGCGUUUAAAAAAUAAUUUAAGAAAGAAAAGAAAAAAGGGCCAAGAUUUCCUGUGCCUGCCUGUAAUAUUAAACCUGCUUAAGCUACAAGGAGACGCCUGUGGAUGUAAUUGCACGUUUCCAAAAGCCUGCGUCCGCACAGCCGGCUCCAAACGGCCUCCGAAGCUCCAGCGGUUUCCCCAGCUGCAGAAGGGGCAGUAAAGGGGGGAAGAAUCUGAUGGGCAGGCAGUUCUGUCCCUUUUUAUUUUCCCGGUGUACGUAGGACACAAAGCCAUUCCUUCGCCCGCCACUCUCUUUUCUGGAUGAGGAUUAAAACAAGAAAUGGCCACAGCCCAUCUGCUCGGCGGUCUCGGCACACCGGCUGCUUGUUGCAGCUGAAGCUCUU
rnacentral:lncRNA from 1 species